rnacentral:rRNA from 1 species
CAGUCGCCGCGGUAAUGCGUAGGUGGCAAGCGUUGUCCGGAAUUAUUGGGCGUAAAGGGUGCGUAGGCGGCCCCGCAAGUCUCAUGUGAAAUCUUCAGGCUCAACUUGAAGUCUGCAUGGGAAACUGCGGGGCUGGAGUAUGGGAGAGGUGAGUGGAAUUCCUGGUGUAGCGGUGAAAUGCGUAGAUAUAUGGAGGAACACCGGUGGCGAAAGCGGCUCUCUGGUCUGUAACUGACGCUGAGGCUCGAAAGCGUGGGGAGCAAACAGGAUUAGAGACCUGGGUAGUCCCUGUCUCUUAUAC